AUGGAUUUCUUCAAAGCAUUGCUGAAGAGGUCAGCACCUUGAGGCUUCCAGCUGCAAGGGGGCAAGGACCUCAAUGUGCCCUUCUCCAUUUCCUGGCUCACUCCUGGAGGCAAAUGAUCUGAGCCUGCAUAAAGUGCCUCAGCCUGGGUCUCAGCAGGUCUCAGCCAGUUCAGAGCAAACCACAGGAGGUUCUGGCUCCUGCCACAAACCCCCUGCAGUUCACGCUUGCACCCAGCACCUUCAACAAGAUGGCCUGGCCCUUCAGGGCACCCCCACCACCUGCUGGCAAUGCACCAUAGCAGAAUGGACAGCUGCUCCAACUGCUGGUCCCAGAUGCCACCAAGCAGUGGCUGAUGGAGAACACCAAGGACUGGCCACCAUGGUCUAGGACAGGCCAGUCACAUUCCUUCAGCAUCCUUGCCCACGUCAUAGACACGGAGUUCAUGCAAGACCUGGAUGAGGAACACCUGAAGAAA
rnacentral:lncRNA from 1 species